rnacentral:rRNA from 1 species
UAGGGAAUCUUCGGCAAUGGACGAAAGUCUGACCGAGCAACGCCGCGUGAGUGAAGAAGGUUUUCGGAUCGUAAAACUCUGUUGUUAGAGAAGAACAAGGACGUUAGUAACUGAACGUCCCCCGACGGUAUCUAACCAGAAAGCCACGGCUAACUACGUGCCAGCAGCCGCGGUAAUACGUAGGUGGCAAGCGUUGUCCGGUUUUAUUGGGCGUAAAGCGAGCGCAGGCGGUUUCUUAAGACUGGUGUGAAAGCCCCCGGCUCAACCGGGGAGGGUCAUUGGAAACUGGGAGACUUGAGUUCAGAAGAGGAGAGUGGAAUUCCAUGUGUAGCGGUGAAAUGCGUAGAUAUAUGGAGGAACACCAGUGGCGAAGGCGGCUCUCUGGUCUGUAACUGACGCUGAGGCUCGAAAGCGUGGGGAGCAAACAGG